rnacentral:lncRNA from 1 species
AAUCCCUUCAAAAAUCCCAGAAUUUUGGGGAAUUUUGGGGGAAUUUUGGGGAAUUUUGGGGAAAUUUUGGGGAAUUUUGGGAGAAAUUUGGGGAAUUUGGGGGAAUUUUGGGGAAUUUUGGGGGAAUUCUGGGGAAUUUUGGGGGAAUUUUUGGGAAUUUUUUUGGAAUUUUUGGGAAUUUUGGGGAAUUCUGGGGAAUUUGGGGGAAUUUUUUUGGAAUUUUGGGAAUUUUUGGGAAUUUUGGGGGAAUUUUGGGGAAUUUUGGGGAAAUUUUGGGGAAUUUUGGGAGAAAUUUGGGGAAUUUUGGGGAAUUUUGGGGGAAUUUUGGGGAAUUCUGGGGAAAUUUUGGGGAAUUCUGGGGAAUUUGGGGGAAUUUUUGGGAAUUUUUUUGGAAUUUUUGGGAAUUUUGGGGAAUUUUGGGGACUUUUGGAGGAAUUUUUGGGGAAUUUUGGGGAAUUUUGGGGAAAUUUUGGGGAAUUUUGGGGAAUUUGGGGGAAUUUUUGGGAAUUUUUUUGGAAUUUUUGGGAAUUUUGGGGAAUUUUGGGGACUUUUGGAGGAAUUUUUGGGGAAUUUUGGGGAAUUUUGGGGGAAUUUUGGGGAAUUUUUGGGGGGAUUUGGGUGAAGUUGGGGGAACUUUUUUUGAAUUUUCGGGAAUGUCGGGAAAUUUUGGGGAAUUUGGGGGAAUUUUGGGGAAUUUUGGGGAAUCUUGGGGGAAUUCUGGGGAAUUUUGGGGAAUUCUGGGGAAUUUGGGGGAAUUUUUUUGAAAUUUUUGGGAAUUUUUGGGAAUUUUGGGGGAAUUUUGGGGACUUUUGGAGGAAUUUUUGGGAAUUUGGGGGAAUUUUGGGGGAAUUUUUGGGAAUAUGGGGGAAUUUUGGAGAAUUUUGGGGAAUUUGGGGGAAUUUUGGGGAAUUUUUUGGAAUUUUUGGGGGAUUUGGGAGAAGUUGGGGGAACUUUUUUGGAAUUUUUGGGAAUUUUGGGGAAUUUGGGGGAAUUUUGGAGAAUUUUGGGGAAUUUGGGGGAAUUUUGGGGGGAAUUUUGGGGGGAAUUUUUUUGGAUUUUUUUGGGAAUUUUGGGGAAAUUUUGGGGAAUUUUGGGAGGAAUUUGGGGGAAUUUUGGGGGAUUUUUUUGGAAUUUUUUGGAAAUUUUGGGGAAUUUUGGGAGGAAUUUGGGGGAAUUUUGGGGGAAUUUUUUGGGAAUGGGAUCCCUGACAAUCCGAAAAUCUGGGAUUGA